CUACGGGCUGCUCCAGUCGAGAAUCUUCCGCAAUGGACGAAAGUCUGACGGAGCGACGCCGCGUGCGGGAUGAAGGCCUUCGGGUUGUAAACCGCUGUCAGUGGGGAGGAAAUGCAUCAGGGUUCUCCCUGGUGUUUGACCGAUCCGCAGAGGAAGCGCAGGCUAAGUUCGUGCCAGCAGCCGCGGUAACACGAACUGCGCGAACGUUAUUCGGAAUCACUGGGCUUAAAGAGUUCGUAGGCGGCCCUUCAAGUCGGGUGUGAAAUCCCUCGGCUCAACCGAGGAAUUGCGCCUGAUACUGUUGGGCUUGAGGGGGAUAGGGGUGAGCGGAACUGAUGGUGGAGCGGUGAAAUGCGUUGAUAUCAUCAGGAACACCGGUGGCGAAGGCGGCUCACUGGAUCUCUUCUGACGCUGAGGAACGAAAGCUAGGGGAGCGAACGGGAUUAGAUACCCGAGUAGUC
rnacentral:rRNA from 1 species